GAUGAACGCUGGCGGCGUGCUUAACACAUGCAAGUCGAACGAAGCAACUUAUUACGAUCCCUUCGGGGUGACGAUUUGUUGACUGAGUGGCGGACGGGUGAGUAACGCGUGGGUAACCUACCUUGUACAGGGGGACAACAGUUGGAAACGACUGCUAAUACCGCAUAAGCGCACAGCUUCGCAUGAAGCAGUGUGAAAAGUUUUUCGGUACAAGAUGGACCCGCGUCUGAUUAGCUAGUUGGUGAGGUAACGGCCCACCAAGGCGACGAUCAGUAGCCGACCUGAGAGGGUGACCGGCCACAUUGGGACUGAGACACGGCCCAAACUCCUACGGGAGGCAGCAGUGGGGAAUAUUGCACAAUGGGCGAAAGCCUGAUGCAGCGACGCCGCGUGAGCGAAGAAGUAUUUCGGUAUGUAAAGCUCUAUCAGCAG
rnacentral:rRNA from 1 species